rnacentral:rRNA from 1 species
GACGAACGCUGGCGGCGUGCUUAACACAUGCAAGUCGAACGAAGAGCGAUGGAAGCUUGCUUCUAUCAAUCUUAGUGGCGAACGGGUGAGUAACGCGUAAUCAACCUGCCCUUCAGAGGGGGACAACAGUUGGAAACGACUGCUAAUACCGCAUACGAUCUAAUCUCGGCAUCGAGGAAAGAUGAAAGGUGGCCCCUAUUUAUAAGCUAUCACUGAAGGAGGGGAUUGCGUCUGAUUAGCUAGUUGGAGGGGUAACGGCCCACCAAGGCGAUGAUCAGUAGCCGGUCUGAGAGGAUGAACGGCCACAUUGGGACUGAGACACGGCCCAGACUCCUACGGGAGGCAGCAGUGGGGAAUCUUCCGCAAUGGACGAAAGUCUGACGGAGCAACGCCGCGUGAGUGAUGACGGCCUUCGGGUUGUAAAGCUCUGUUAAUCGGGACGAAAGGCCUUCUUGCGAACAGUUAGAAGGAUUGACGGUACCGGAAUAGAAAGCCACGGCUAACUACGCG